rnacentral:rRNA from 1 species
CCUACGGGGGGCAGCAGUGAGGAAUAUUGGUCAAUGGACGAGAGUCUGAACCAGCCAAGUAGCGUGAAGGAUGACUGCCCUAUGGGUUGUAAACUUCUUUUAUAUGGGAAUAAAAUGUUCCACGUGUGGGAUUUUGUAUGUACCAUAAGAAAAAGGAUCGGCUAACUCCGUGCCAGCAGCCGCGGUAAUACGGAGGAUCCGAGCGUUAUCCGGAUUUAUUGGGUUUAAAGGGAGCGUAGGUGGAUUGUUAAGUCCGGUGUGAAAGUUGGCGGCUCAACCGUAAGAUUGCAGUUGAAACUGGCAGUCUUGAGUACAGUAGAGGUGUGCGGAAUUCGUGGGGUAGCGGUGAAAUGCGUAGAUAUCACGAAGAACUCCGAUUGCGAAGGCAGUUCACUGGACUGAAACUGACGCUGAGGCUCGAAAGUGUGGGUAUCAAACAGGAUUAGAUACCCGUGUAGUC